CGCGUAGGCGGCUCGAAAAGUCAGGGGUGAAAUCCGGCAGCUUAACUGUCGCAGUGCCUUUGAUACUGUCGAGCUCGAGGGAGGUAGGGGUCUGCGGAACUUCCGGUGGAGCGGUGAAAUGCGUUGAUAUCGGAAGGAACGCCGGUGGCGAAAGCGACGGACUGGAUCUCUUCUGACGCUGAGGCGCGAAAGCUAGGGAGGCAAAACG
rnacentral:rRNA from 1 species